rnacentral:lncRNA from 1 species
GUUAUCGGUUUAUCGAUUCGAUUUCGAUUUCGAAAAUUUUCCUUAUCGGUUUAUCGAUUCGAUUUCGAUUUUGACAAUUCGGUUUAUCGGUUUAUCGAUAAAUCGAUAAGAUAUAUUAAAAAGAUAAAUAAACCCUUAUUUUAUAAUACUAUUACUACCCUAUCCCUAUUCCCUUUGCUGUUGGCAUAUAAUACUGAUAUCAUAUCAUAUACUUAAGUUAACCCUAUUUUUUCUUCAUUCGACCGC